ACAUGCCUACGACAUAAUGUUAAUGCACUGGAUCCCAUUAGAACUCCGCAGUUAAGCGCGCUCAGGCUAGAGUAGUACUGGGAUGGGUGACCUCCUGGGAAGUCCUAGUGUUUUACAUGCC
rnacentral:rRNA from 1 species